rnacentral:rRNA from 1 species
GCGACCCCAGGUCAGGUGGAAUACUCACUUUA